rnacentral:rRNA from 1 species
AGCGUACACGGUGGAUGCCCUGGCAGUCAGAGGCGAUGAAGGGCGUGCUAAUCUGCGAUAAGCGCCGGUAAGGUGAUAUGAACCGUUAUAACCGGCGAUACCCGAAUGGGGAAACCCAGUGUGACUCGUCACACUAUCAUUAACUGAAUCCAUAGGUUAAUGAGGCGAACCGGGGGAACUGAAACAUCUAAGUACCCCGAGGAAAAGAAAUCAACCGAGAUUCCCCCAGUAGCGGCGAGCGAACGGGGAGGAGCCCAGAGCCUGAAUCAGCAUGUGUGUUAGUGGAAGCGUCUGGAAAGGCGCGCGAUACAGGGUGACAGCCCCGUACACAAAAGCGCAUGUGCUGUGAGCUCGAUGAGUAGGGCGGGACACGUGGUAUCCUGUCUGAAUAUGGGGGGACCAUCCUCCAAGGCUAAAUACUCCUGACUGACCGAUAGUGAACCAGUACCGUGAGGGAAAGGCGAAAAGAACCCCGGCGAGGGGAGUGAAAAAGAACCUGAAACCGUGUACGUACAAGCAGUGGGAGCACAGGUUUACCUGUGUGACUGCGUACCUUUUGUAUAAUGGGUCAGCGACUUAUAUUCUGUAGCAAGGUUAACCGAAUAGGGGAGCCGGAGGGAAACCGAGUCUUAAUUGGGCGUUAAGUUGCAGGGUAUAGACCCGAAACCCGGUGAUCUAGCCAUGGGCAGGUUGAAGGUUGGGUAACACUAACUGGAGGACCGAACCGACUAAUGUUGAAAAAUUAGCGGAUGACCUGUGGCUGGGGGUGAAAGGCCAAUCAAACCGGGAGAUAGCUGGUUCUCCCCGAAAGCUAUUUAGGUAGCGCCUCGUGAAUUCAUCUCCGGGGGUAGAGCACUGUUUCGGCUAGGGGGCCAUCCCGGCUUACCAACCCGAUGCAAACUGCGAAUACCGGAGAAUGUUAUCACGGGAGACACACGGCGGGUGCUAACGUCCGUCGUGAAGAGGGAAACAACCCAGACCGCCAGCUAAGGUCCCAAAGUCAUGGUUAAGUGGGAAACGAUGUGGGAAGGCCCAGACAGCCAGGAUGUUGGCUUAGAAGCAGCCAUCAUUUAAAGAAAGCGUAAUAGCUCACUGGUCGAGUCGGCCUGCGCGGAAGAUGUAACGGGGCUAAACCAUGCACCGAAGCUGCGGCAGCGACGCUGAUGCGUUGUUGGGUAGGGGAGCGUUCUGUAAGCCUGUGAAGGUGGCCUGUGAGGGUUGCUGGAGGUAUCAGAAGUGCGAAUGCUGACAUAAGUAACGAUAAAGCGGGUGAAAAGCCCGCUCGCCGGAAGACCAAGGGUUCCUGUCCAACGUUAAUCGGGGCAGGGUGAGUCGACCCCUAAGGCGAGGCCGAAAGGCGUAGUCGAUGGGAAACGGGUUAAUAUUCCCGUACUUGGUGUUACUGCGAAGGGGGGACGGAGAAGGCUAUGUUGGCCGGGCGACGGUUGUCCCGGUUUAAGCGUGUAGGUGUGUGUUCCAGGUAAAUCCGGUUCACUUUAACACUGAGGCGUGAUGACGAGGCACUACGGUGCUGAAGCAACAAAUGCCCUGCUUCCAGGAAAAGCCUCUAAGCAUCAGGUAACAUCAAAUCGUACCCCAAACCGACACAGGUGGUCAGGUAGAGAAUACCAAGGCGCUUGAGAGAACUCGGGUGAAGGAACUAGGCAAAAUGGUGCCGUAACUUCGGGAGAAGGCACGCUGACACGUAGGUGAAGUGAUUUACUCAUGGAGCUGAAGUCAGUCGAAGAUACCAGCUGGCUGCAACUGUUUAUUAAAAACACAGCACUGUGCAAACACGAAAGUGGACGUAUACGGUGUGACGCCUGCCCGGUGCCGGAAGGUUAAUUGAUGGGGUCAGCGCAAGCGAAGCUCCUGAUCGAAGCCCCGGUAAACGGCGGCCGUAACUAUAACGGUCCUAAGGUAGCGAAAUUCCUUGUCGGGUAAGUUCCGACCUGCACGAAUGGCGUAAUGAUGGCCAGGCUGUCUCCACCCGAGACUCAGUGAAAUUGAACUCGCUGUGAAGAUGCAGUGUACCCGCGGCAAGACGGAAAGACCCCGUGAACCUUUACUAUAGCUUGACACUGAACAUUGAGCCUUGAUGUGUAGGAUAGGUGGGAGGCUUUGAAGCGUGGACGCCAGUCUGCGUGGAGCCAACCUUGAAAUACCACCCUUUAAUGUUUGAUGUUCUAACGUGGACCCGUAAUCCGGGUUGCGGACAGUGUCUGGUGGGUAGUUUGACUGGGGCGGUCUCCUCCUAAAGAGUAACGGAGGAGCACGAAGGUUGGCUAAUCCUGGUCGGACAUCAGGAGGUUAGUGCAAUGGCAUAAGCCAGCUUGACUGCGAGCGUGACGGCGCGAGCAGGUGCGAAAGCAGGUCAUAGUGAUCCGGUGGUUCUGAAUGGAAGGGCCAUCGCUCAACGGAUAAAAGGUACUCCGGGGAUAACAGGCUGAUACCGCCCAAGAGUUCAUAUCGACGGCGGUGUUUGGCACCUCGAUGUCGGCUCAUCACAUCCUGGGGCUGAAGUAGGUCCCAAGGGUAUGGCUGUUCGCCAUUUAAAGUGGUACGCGAGCUGGGUUUAGAACGUCGUGAGACAGUUCGGUCCCUAUCUGCCGUGGGCGCUGGAGAACUGAGGGGGGCUGCUCCUAGUACGAGAGGACCGGAGUGGACGCAUCACUGGUGUUCGGGUUGUCAUGCCAAUGGCACUGCCCGGUAGCUAAAUGCGGAAGAGAUAAGUGCUGAAAGCAUCUAAGCACGAAACUUGCCCCGAGAUGAGUUCU